UAAACCUUUAAGAAUAGUCCAGAGAGGCUAAGAAGGAAGCGUCUUUUUUAAGAGCUCGGAUAAAGUAUACUGAUUGAAGCAUAGUUAAUUACUGUGAUCUUCUAUUUAUACCUACGCUUAGUUUGGACAAUUCUAAACUAAGUGUUUUUUUU
rfam:Lactobacillus salivarius TCC118, complete genome.